ACAUGGAAGAACCCAAGCCCGCUAUUUUACAAGAGAAUGACUCAAUUUAGUUUUAAGAGGGCAUAGACAUGCAGAUUAGUUUAUUCUCCUUUACCCAACUAAAUUUAAAAAUUUCCACUUAUGUGGACCGUGUGCCAGUUUUUAGCAAAUAUUUUGCACCUGUUACAGUUUAGUUAUAACUAGACUGCACAAUCAUGCUGCUGGAAUAGAUUCUGCACUCUCUUAAUUUAUGGUCCAAUUUAUGAAACUACUAAUAUAUAAAUAACUAAUCUGUAAUAAUCUGUGCCAGCCUAGCUUGUCUGAAACAUGAGUUCACCAAGUGAUCAAAAAUCAUGAAUCAGGCCACAGAAAUCAUGGUAUUGUGUUAAAAAUUAAGAAACUAUUCGGGAUUUGUUUUGUUUUCCUUUUGAUUAGAUUCUAUUUGAGUCAUAUUUUCAAGCAUUUUACUGCAAGUACCUCAAGGAAAGCUAACACACUGAUCUAGAAAUCAUUUAAAGGAAUUUUACUAUCUGUACAUUCUAAUGAUUUUCCAGGAGAGCUCCACCUGCAAGGCACCUAGUCGAGAUGUCAUUUAUACCAAGAGCUCUUUGCUGGCACAGUUAUGUUGAACAAAAUAACUGCAUCUACACUAGGGCUGCUCUAUUUUUUUUUCAUAUUCCUAAUAGAUGCAGCUAUGGCCAAUAGAAGUUUUGCAUGUAGAACCAACUUAAAAUAAAAGCAAUCAAAUGUCAAACAAAAUAAACCUGUAAAAUAGCCUUAGAUGGGAGUUUGCUCGAGUCACAACUGCAUGCAAAUAGAUUAAGAAAUAAGGGGCAGAUUGUGGCACCUUUACUCAGGAUGAGCAUUUCCUUGCGUUUAUAAUAUCCCCAUUAUUUUCACUGAGACUAUUCCCACAGUAAGGUACUACUGACUAUAAGUAAAGAUGGCAGAAUUUGGCCUUGAGUAAGGCCAUCCAGCUUUCACAAAGGCAUGGUGGCAUUUUAGGUGAAACUUUGGGCAUCAGAGGUGGUAGCGGCAGCAGUGAGUGCUCCUUUGUUAUAUCUGGACCAGCUUUGUACCUGCCUAUCAGUAGGAGCCAGCUGAAGAAGCCCUGCAGCACCUGGCUGUAGGAGCUUGAACACAUCAGGGGCAACCCAGCAUUCCCGGAAGCCCUGAAAGCUGAGCUGGAGCAGCCCGGUUUUGCUUGGGCAACAUCUUGCCUGUCCGGGGGAACUCAACAGACCCUCGCUGCUCUUAGUGCGGCCCUGCACCUGGCUCUGUUGGCCAGGCAGUGUGGGGCUUCUCCAAUUCAGCUUCCAGAGCUGGGCAGUGCAGGCCUGCUCCUGCUGUGUCCUAGCACACAACUCCUACAACCAGGUGGCACAGGGCUUGUUCAAGUCAGCACCUCUGGUCAGAGGAGGCAGUGCUGCUCCAGAUGCAGCAAAGACUACAGAUGCAGCAAAGGGAGAGGGGCAUCAUUCUGGCAUCACCUCUAUAAGUCAGCACCCAGGUCUGGUGUCCCUCUUGUCCCCCCAUCUUCUCCCUCCCACCCCCCAUCCCAUUAUGCUCCUGAACAGACUGAACAACAGGACCAGAGCACUAAGUCGUGGUGCAAAAACAGCAUUUCUCCAGCAGUGGCACUAAGACUCACAAAGUCCCCCUGGGGGGCACAGUUUCUCCACUUGUUCCUUACUCCCUGAGGAGGACAGAGGAGUAAUUAGCCAAUGAUUCACAGCAGCAAACUCAACAUACCCACUGCAGACUCAGCAAUACUGGCUGGGACAUUGAAGGGAAAAGGAUGGGCUUGACUUUGGCCUCUCCCUUUCAGCCCAUUUGCUCCAGGAGGGAAGAGAAUCUGGAUAUCCAACACCCAUUUGGUUCUGUGAAUCCAGGCCCAAUGUCAGAAUAAGCCGACCUGGUCCCUUCCAAGUGGGCAUAAAGGAGCAAGGAGUGGAACCCUGUUAAAUGUUGAAAAGCAAAAAAACAACAGAAGCUGAAAAUGGAGAACACAGAAAGCUGGUCAACAGAACCAGAUGAAAGAAUAGAUGAAAGAACUGGUUAACAGCAGCUAUUACUAUGAACAACAUCUAACCAAUCCCAUCAUUCUUAGCUCUGCUAAACUAAAAUAGUUUAGAAAACUAAUGAUAGAAGAAGGGUCCACAAACCUAAAGUAUGAAGACCAAAAAUAUGAAAAUCUGUAGCCUGUUAUUGAAGACAGUUCUUUGGGAAGAGACUGAAGGCUCAGCUACACAAUGCAAGUAUAGUGGAUACUCAGAUUGUUAGAAAUUCAUUCAGUUAUUGACCCUCAUCUUUACAACCAACUAAAGGGACUGAUCUUGGGAGGCCCUCUUCCCGAGGGGCUCACCAGCUCACAAGCUACAGCCCUAAGGAAAGUUCUUCAAACGAAACACAUGAAACAAAAUGAAUUAUUUUAUCCAGGUCCACUUGGUCAUGAAAUGGUAUUGGUACUAAAGUUCCCUUGUACUCUCUCUCAUGUGUUCUUAUUUUUUACUUCAGAAACUGCCUCAGAAGUUAAGGGUUAAUUUAUUUCCUCCCUUCUACUCUUUUCAUUUGCCUCUUCAAAAGAGAUCCCAUGAAGAUGGCCUCUUUGGAAACCAAUGCCAUUUGAACUUUGUGAGUAAUGAAAUUUCAGUCUAUCACACAAUGGCAGGUGCAUCCUUUUCUGCUCUCCUGAUACAGGAAGAAAAGAAACUGCCCAGCCUGAACAAUAGAACCAGUUCUCAGAGACUGGCUGUCACUGAGCAGCAAUGCAUAAAAAUAAUCCAUGGUGAUCCCAAGGGUAACAUUUCUCAUCUCUUAUCAGCUCUGCUGCAUGCACCAGAACUUGAUAAGACAGCCAGAAAAAAAAUAAUGGCUGCUAUCAAGCUGUCUAGGUAGAAAUAAUAAUAAUAAUAAUAAUAAUGUUUUAUAGAAAGACAUCUGUUGUAUUAUUUUGAUUUUUUAAUUAAAAAAAAUAAAACUAAAUACCCCUCCUAGCCAUCAAGCCUGUGAUGGGGGAACAGAGCAGAUCUAAUGUUUUAGACUAAACUAACAGACUAGAAUACUUAUAUGUGCCUUGAUCAAGCUCAAAUGUAUUCAGCUUGGUUCACAAAAUAAAGUGUAUUUUUGAAAGGGCUGCCUUAGAAACCCAUCCAUAUCCAUACUUUGGCUAUCCAAUCCAUCUCUAAAUGUCUGCAAAGAGAAAUAUACAUAAUCCUGUUGAAAAUAUUUUCAGGCUUAAGAAUUAGUAUUUGCUCAUCUGAAACAGACCAAUGAUCUGUCUAGCCCACUGUCCUCUCUCAGAGAGUGCUCUAUAGCAGCUGUUCCAGAGGAAGGCAUAAAAUCUCCAUGGUGUACUUGCCCAUUGUAUAAUACUAUACCCUGGGGGGAAACUGAAUGCUUUCCCCAGCUGGUUAUCAGCUCAUACUCUGAAGUAGGAGGAUAGUUAAUUGUUAUCCUAGCUAGUGUAAUUGCAGAUGAUAUUCUUAUUCAUGAGUGUUUCUUUCUGAAUCUCACUGAUUAAUUUCCUUCAGUGAUAUCCUGUGACAGUGAGUUCCAUGGGCUAAUUUUAUGUUGCACCUCCUUUCAUUUUAUCUGGUCUAAAUAUGUGCUUUGAAUUUCAAUCAAUUUCUUCUUGUUCUUUUGUCGAAGAUCGUAUUAAGAAGAGCUUCAAACUGAUCUUCUCAGUCUCUAUUUAACUAUCAAAUAUAUCCAUCAUAUCUAGUCUUAAUCUCAUCUCCAAAGGAAAAAAUCCUCGUUUUAAAAACUCUUUUCACAUGGAAGCCACCCUCAGUUCCCCCUUUCCCUCUCCAUGCCCACAGCCAACAUAUAGCUAAUGAAUCUCAAUUUUAAUGAUGAUCACUUCUUUUGCAAAGCACUUUGAGAUCUACUAGUGAAACUUACCACAUUAGCAUGAGGCUCUCAGUAUUGCCUCUCACCUUACCAUGAUGCGCCAGGUGAACUUUGUAUUAAGUACAAAUUUUGUCUAGAUUCUGCUGAAUGGUUAUUAUUCAGGUUGAGGAAUCGCUUUCAAAAAAUGACAUCCUUCACAUUAAUUAGUCACUUUAAAGACUGCAGAACUGGGUCUGUACACAGAAUCUACACACCAUAUUCCCCUUCCACUGAGAUCAGUGACAAAAACUGCCAUCAGUAGUUGCAGGAAGAGCCCCUUCUCUGACCAGCUAUACUGAUGAGCAUUCAGACCAAAAGCUUUCUACAUCCUUGUAUGUUCACCAAAGUUUUUUUUCUCUGCUUCAGACAAAGAAGCCACAAGAACCCCCCUUUUCAUAUUUUCUUUUAUAUCUUUCACUGAGCAGCAGGAAGAUCAAAAAUGAUUCUCAAUUAAAAAAAAAAGUAACCUUGCUCUUUAUGUAUUCCUGAUAUACAAGACAAGGAAAUGUGCGUAGAGCUAUAAAGGCAGGAGGCAUCAUAAGGUAUUACAGGAGAAUAGAAAUCAGCAGGAGGGAGGGAGUGGGAAGGAGACAUUAAUGCUUCUUUUCAGGAUGAUACCACAAGGUUAAUGUCUGGCCUGGUGAUAAAAUUCUGGCAUCUGUUACAGAAAACACAAUGGGCAUUGUUGUCAUUCAGAAAAUGCCUCUGUUUUUCCUGGCAUGAGUUACUGUUUGGAAGCAGUUUUAAAAUAGAAAAAGAAAACAUCAAUCUGAAAAACUUUAAAAAAAAAAAAGUUAAUGCCAGAAUUGUUACACUGCCGUAUUUCCAGGAAGAGUUAUUGGUUCCUUGUUCUAAAACUGCUCAUAUGUUUUAUCCACAAUUAGCUUAAAAGCUAGCGGCAUGCAUAUAAUGCACUUCUGUCAUAAAUAGGAGCUACCAUUCUAAAAAUGUAUCCGCUCAGAAGUAUAUUCUAAAAGUCUCACAAUUUAUUACAUUUUCCACUCAUUUUAGAGACUGCUCCAACUUCAUGUGCGUGCGCAGGUUUCCCAAACCAGUACAAAGAUCAUGCAAGUACUCAACUUACACAGGGUAAUGCCACAUGCCGCCUCCUGUUGUCAUACCGAAAUAUUUGUCAUAUGUAUUCUGCCUCCCAGAAAUGGUACCAGACUAUUUUCAGUAGAUAUUAGUUUACACACAAUCAGAAGCACUAGUCCAGUUAUUAAUGAGCAGAAGAUAUUUCAUUUGUUCCACCAAUUUUUCUUUUCUGUGCUCUGUCACAGCUUGCCAUUAGAUGGCUAUUAGCAAAAUUAAAAAGCAGGGGAAAAAUGAGGCCUUGAAGUGUUUUCAAAUCUUGUGUUUCAAGUUGUUGGCCUGAGGCACAGAUCAUAGAAGAUAAUGUAUAUUACCCCUGUAUUAUGUUGCUGGAUGUUACCAUUUGCUAACUUGAAAUUAAUCACUGUUUUCCUUUGUUGCAAUUAUUUCAAACAACAUCUCGAGCCUCAUAUGUUCAACAAAAUGUGGUGCACAAAAAUAUAUACAUUUGAUCAACAACUAGAAAUACAACAGCUGGUUCCAUCUCUGUUUCUUUUACUCCCAGGAAUCGGUGAAAUAAUAACAAAUAAGAUCAACAUCAGAUUUAGUGGGCCAGAUUCUCCAUCAUAAACUGGUACCCAGACGCUACUUUAACAAAUGAGGCCAAAUCCAGCGAGCUGUCCCCAUAUUAAGAGGCCUGCCAGCAUGAAGGAAUCCUCAGAUGACAGAACUACCCUCCCUCCCUGCCAAGUCCUCCUACACCUGACCCAAUGUGCGCUGUUUCAAGAUGUACUUUAUAUUAUAUAAAAAAUGUAAAGGAUCAGAAUUGAAAUGAACUGUUUGAAUGCAUCUUAACAAAAUGUUUCAAUUUAAACUAGAAUGCUUUUUGUCCAAAUGCUGUUUGUUGAAGAUAUCAAAAUGUUGAUUAACUGUCCAAACUUAUGCUUAUGACUCAUAUAUCCAAAAUUUAUAAUGUCCAGAUGUUGAUUUUUUUUUUUGUACAAAAAAAUAAAACUUUUUGCAGGACAGUAAAUCU